AGUGUAGGCGGUGCGAUAAGUCGAUUGUGAAAUCUCCCGGCUCAACCGGGAGGGUGCGGUCGAAACUGUCGGACUGGAGUCCGAGAGGGGAGAGUGGAAUUCCUGGUGUAGCGGUGAAAUGCGUAGAUAUCAGGAGGAACAUCGGUGGUGAAGACGGCUCUCUGGAUCGUGACUGACGCUGAGACUCGAAAGCGUGGGGAGCAAACA
rnacentral:rRNA from 1 species